rnacentral:rRNA from 1 species
UACAGGGGGUGCAAACGUUGCUCGGAAUUAUUGGGCGUAAAGAGCGCGCAGGCGGUCGUUCAAGUCGCGUGUGAAAGCCCCCGGCUCAACUGGGGAGGGUCACGCGAUACUGAUCGACUCGAAGGCAGGAGAGGGUAGUGGAAUUCCCGGUGUAGUGGUGAAAUGCGUAGAUAUCGGGAGGAACACCAGUGGCGAAGGCGACUACCUGGCCUGUUCUUGACGCUGAGGCGCGAAAGCUAGGGGAGCAAACGGG